AUGGAGUCAUUCUUGGCCAGCCGGCUACUGGGGAGAGAAGCAGCCGUGAACCGGGUGCGGAGAAGCCGCGGGAGCGCCGCGGGACCCGCCCCUGCCCCUACCGUGCGCCCGAGAUCGUCGGCGAAGGUGACGCCUUUGCUGAGGCGCUGCUCCUGCGAGCCCGUGCUGCUGCCGCUCAGCGAGUUCCGCCGCAUGAUGCCUGCGGGACAGCGGCGUGAGGGGGGCACGGGGCCGGGCAGCUCGCCCCGGUCCCUGCACGGGGCUGGGCAGCUCGCCCCGGUCCCUGCACGGGGCUGGGCAGCUCGGCCCGGUCCCUGCAGCUCGGCCCGGUCCCUGCACGGGGCUGGGCGGCUCGCCCCGGUCCCUGCAGCUCUCCCCGGUCCCUGCACGGGGCUGGGCAGCCCGCCCCGGUCCCUGCACGGGGCCGGGCAGCUCCCCCCGGUCCCUGCACGGGGCUGGGCAGCCCGCCCCGGUCCCUGCCCUGCGCCCCCACCCAGCCCGAAGGGAAAGGGGAGCGGGGCUGGCACCUGCGGGCGGUGCCAGCUCCAGGCGCUGCAGGCUGUUGCGGCGGGACGGGUUAAAGCUGCCCUUGGACAGGCGGCGCUGCCGGCCGGACAGCAUGGCAGCCGGCGAGACGAUGCCCAGCGGCGGCUGCUUCCCCAUGCGCAGGUACAGCUCCUCGAUCUCCUUCUUCUGGGCGCUCUGCAGCAGCUGCACCUCCGCCAGGUGCCUGGGGAGAGGACGGGAGCUGGCAGCGAGGUUCCCCUUCCCGGGGAAGGGACAGCGAGCUCCCACCCAGGCUGGGUGGGGAACAUCUGUCUCCUCCCUGGUGCAGCCCAGCCCCGGCUCACUUCUGGCGCAGGUUCUGCAGCUCCUCCCAGAUCUCCUCGUCCUCGCUCUCGGUGUCGUCGCUGCUCACGUAGGACAAGCUGCGGGAGUAGCUCAGCCACACCUGGCUCAGCAUGGCCUGCGGCACGUUUUCUGUGCUCUCUUCCCCAGGGCCCUCCCCCGGGUCGCUCCCCACCGGCACGGCGGGCACCGUGCCCCCCUCGGCUGGCACCUCCUCAGCCCUGGGGCCUCGCUCCGCUGCCUCCGGUGCCACGUCCGAGUCACUGCUGGAGCUGCGGCUCGUGUCGGGGAUGGCGGGAGGCGGGGAGCCGCUCGCCGCCGGCUCCGUGCCGUGCUGCUCUCCGUCACUGCUGCCCAGCACCGCGGAGCUCACAGCCAGGUCCUGGGCUGGCACCACCUGGAACCGGCCCAGCACCUGGGGCUUGGCUUCUGCUGGGGACAGGGGCAGCUGCUGGGGGCUGGCCGGGGCAUGGGGGCCCUGCACGGGCACACGGCACAGCCUCAGCCCUGCCCACCUCACCUUCAUUGAUGGGCGAGAGCUGA
rnacentral:lncRNA from 1 species